CCUCACGCGAUUGGGUUGGCCGAUGUCCGAUUAGCUAGUUGGCGGGGUAAAGGCCCACCAAGGCGAUGAUCGGUAGCUGGUCUGAGAGGAUGAUCAGCCACACUGGCACUGGAACACGGGCCAGACUCCUACGGGAGGCAGCAGUGAGGAAUUUUGCGCAAUGGCCGCAAGGCUGACGCAGCAACGCCGCGUGGGUGAUGAAGGCCUUCGGGUCGUAAAGCCCUGUCAGGUGGAAGAAAUCCCAGGGGUGAAUAAUCUUUUGGGUUGACGGUACCAUCGAAGGAAGCACCGGCUAACUACGUGCCAGCAGCCGCGGUAA
rnacentral:rRNA from 1 species